rnacentral:rRNA from 1 species
UACUUAGUGGCAGACGGGUGAGUAACAUGUGGGUAUCUACCCUUUGGCCUGGAAUAACACGAGGAAACUUGUGCUAAUACCGGAUAAGUCUUUACGGAGAAAGCUUUAUGCACCAUUGGAUGAGCCCGCACUUGAUUAGUUUGUUGGUAGGGUAAUGGCCUACCAAGACUAUGAUCAAUAGCUGAUUUGAGAGGAUGAUCAGCCACAUUGGGACUGAGACACGGCCCAAACUCCUACGGGAGGCAGCAGUGGGGAAUCUUGCACAAUGGAGGAAACUCUGAUGCAGCGAUGCCGCGUGAGUGAAGAAGGCCUUUGGGUUGUAAAGCUCUUUCGUCGGGGAAGAAAAUGACUGUACCCGAAUAAGAAGGUCCGGCUAACUUCGUGCCAGCAGCCGCGGUAAUACGAAGGGACCUAGCGUAGUUCGGAAUUACUGGGCUUAAAGAGUUCGUAGGUGGUUGAAAAAGUUGGUGGUGAAAUCCCAGAGCUUAACUCUGGAGCUGC